CCUGCCCUAAGUCUUUCUUCCUCCUCCUUUUUCUUGCUCGAGCUUCCCUCUUCUCUUUCCUCUUGCUUCUCUUCUUGGUAUAAUCUCAUCCGCCAUCUCCUAUAGAAAAUUUCCGACUACACAAUUCACAAAUGAAGGGAGGUUGGAUCUAUUAGAUUGAGACUUUAGGUUUUAAUUCAAAUAUCGCUAAGAUUCUCCGCCUUCGAUUGGUAAGCUCUUCCGAUCUGAAUUAAUUGUUACAAUAUUCAAUUGUUUUAGCAGAUUUCUUCGGUUGCCCUGUCGAGUCGUCGCCGAGUAUCCCAGCGCUGCCGCCUUCCGCACUGGUUGCUCACUUGCUCGUCGUUGUGGAGCCGUGGAGGGUCAUCGGUCUCGACCAGGGGUGGAGCUCUCUACGGACUACAUUGCAGAUCGAUUAAUUGGGGUUUUGUAAGUUUGUUACUGCAAUUUGGUACUGUGGCAGCUGGCGCCGGAUUCAUCUUACCGCAGUUUGGUAUCCCUUGGAAUUACAAGCAUUCAAGGACAGACCGUUGCUUCAUUUGAGAGAGAUGAUGUUGGUCGUCUUCUUUUUCCUGCACAAGACAGGAGAAAGAUAUGCAUCCACGUAAUGAUGAUUUAAUGGGACUUAUAGUCCAGUUUUUCCCAUCCGGAAGAAGCUAAAAGUAGCAGCAAUGAGGUCCAUACCUCAAACUAAUAUUCGAAAAAUAUGCCUUUUGCGGGGAUCGUGCAAGUAGAUAACUACAGGCCAACUGAAGCUCAGCUUGCCAGUGCUUCCACCAACCAAGCAUAGUGUCUUCAUCAAAUCCUGCACCAAAUAUAAGGUCUUCUAUCACUUUCCAGGCUAAGAUUUCCUUAAAUCCAAUACCUAUGAAUAAGCAUGGAUGUGGCAGAUCACCUAUAACUCAAAGGACGAGUUCUUAAAGGAUGUAAUGUUAUUUCUUAUGCAUCGUGGACACAUUCAUGUCAUCCCUCAAGAUGGGCUAGCAGAGUUCCUGGUGCCAUUCUCAACUCCAAGUGUCUGGAUCUUUACAACUUGUAUAGAGAGGAGGUAGUUUUCAAACUGGAGUCGAACACACUAGGAAAAUGUAAUGCUCCACCACGGAGAGAGUUUGCUUCGUUGUUGCUUUGCAUUGAUGUGGCAAAAAUGGUGAUUAAACUAAGAUGGACAACAAAGGGAGCUGAGGGACGUAAACAAAUAGGCAUCUGGAAUUAUAAAGGCAAACAAUAUUAACAUAACGUCGGGCGAAUGCUGGUUUGGGUCUUUAUUAUUUGAAAAAAAUUGUAUGCAUAUUAGUAUAUGAUGCAUGAUAAUGAUUAUUUUAACAAAUAAUGUCUUUUCCCAUUAAAAAGGUGUCAUGUAGGUUGCAGGCCUUGCGGCUCCAUGUUUAUCAAAAUAGAUAGCUAGGGGUCAUGUAAGUUGCGGUCAUUGCGGCUCCAUGUCUAUCAAAGUAGUAAACACUAUGUUGGAAUUAGAGGGAGUUUGCGGCAUUUCAGGGACCAGAAAGUGCUGAAGAUCGAGGACGAGGCUGCAGCAACUAUGACAUCAGUCUGAGAAUUAGAAGAAUAUGGCAGAUCCAAUUGCGAGGGUUUCUGCUCAAGUUGGUGCAUUGUUGAGAAAUGGGCUGCAGCAACUAUGACAUCAGUCUGAGAAUUAGAAGAAUAAGCGGCUUGAUGAUCGAUGGGAAUAUGCUUAAUGAGAUAACCAAUCAGCGGAAGAAGAAGAGGAGGAGAAAGAAGAUGUUGAGAAAGUGGAGUUGUCAAUGAAUGCACAGUUUAGUGCAAUGCAACUGUGUCCUUCAAUAUUUACAUCUGUGGAAGAUAAUGUUCAAUGUUUUGUCAAUCUCUCCAGUUAUUCGUCCGUAGAGCGAUAUUGAGUUGCGAAAGGCUGACUAUAAUACUGAACUCUUGAUGCCAUUGGAUAACAUACCCUUUUCCACGAGCACUGAGAGAGAAAGAACUGAAGAUAGUGUAUUCAGGAAUAAGUUGGAGUUUUUUUGCUGCCGGAAAAGUUUCUUCAUCGUUUCCCCCACCCGAUCUUCCGGAGAUUGCAUUUGCUGAUAUGUCAGUGUCAAAAGUGCAGAAUCUAUGGCUGCCGUUAAAGUGUCUUUUGCGUCUGUCAGUAUGGGAGACGAAAAGCCCUUUGCCUUAAUCUUCAGACACUAAUAGAUUUUUUUGUCUUGGCAGGAAGUAUUUCAAUUAAGGAUGCCAAACACAUUGUAAGCUUAUUGUUUUGUUUUAGUUGCUUGAAUAUUGGAGCACUCUAUAAUGCCUUACAAUGGAAAAGUAAUACUGAAAAUGGUAUGUUUUGGGCAGCUGAUUUUGAAUUGGCAGGCCAACUUGUGUGGCCUGGAGCAGUGUUGAUUGAAUAACUGGUCGAAAAAUGCUGAGAUAUAAAUAAACUUCUCAAAAAAUGCGUGAUUGUACUGACUACUAAUUAGGGUCGUGAUUAUCAGAUUAUGUUACAAAAAUGCAUUUUUUAACCAAAACAUAUAAUAGACCUUGCAGAUAAUUCGAGUGUAUCUCAUGGCUAAAUUGACAACAAUACUGUUUAAAUUGCUUAGGCUUUGUUAUCAUUUUUUUUUAUGGUUAAAACACAAAUAUAGAUUCACUAUUUAUCAUUUUUCAGUAUAUACUGUAAAAUGACAUUCGUUUUAGUUUUCAGAAUAGUAUAAAAGACAUUCUUUUUAUCGCGAUCCUACAAUACUUUCCACAUACCUUUUUCUGUGUAGUUUGUUUAGGUCAUGUUUUAUAGAGUGUAGUGGGUAAAGGAGACUCUUAGGAUUUAUAAAUUCCCAUUGAUAUGAAAAUCUAUAUUCCCGUGUUGUUAAAGUAAAUAACCUUAUUCCCUGUGUCGCAUCGCCUCUCAUCUCAUAUAACCUAAUUGUGUUAAACUAUUAAUAUUUUUGUACAGACUAAUAAGGCAGUUGCUUGUUCGGAGUUCAGAUUACAGCAUACAAAGAUGCCCUCCAGCACAAAGGGACUUAUGAAAUCACAUAUGCUCCAAUCCAAUCUGCAGACUAGCAGUGGAAACGAAACGAAUUUGAGAUGAUAUGAGGAAAGACUAUAUAUGGGAUAAGGUUUCAUACAAGUUUCCUCUUAACAAGUAGAGAUGGCAGCUUCGGAAGAGAAUAAUUCAUUGUUUCCUAUACUUAUUUUGAGUAUGAUGACAUUCCCUUUAGUGCCUUAUAAAUUUCAAAACUGUGUCGUUUUGUGAAGAAGAACGCGGAAUUUUUUCAUUGUCAAUGUGCCAAUGUGCUGUAUGCUCCCGCUCCGGAAAAUAUACCAUAAAUCAUUAUUGUAAUUAAUAUAAUAAUAUAUUAAUAAUCUGGAAAAACUUUCAAAUUGUAAUUACUAUAUUAUGACAAUAAUAAUUUUACAAUUUUUUA